rnacentral:lncRNA from 1 species
GACUCUAAUGCAUCUAAGCUGGUAGGAAUUUUAAAUCCAGGCAGGUGCAGCUCCGAGGCACAGAAAAAUGCGGUAGGUCGUGCACGCUGCCAAGAAGCAGGGAUUUCACUUAGGGUUCAGGAUCUGCGCCCAGAAAGAACUGAAAAGUGAAGCCCUCUUCAUGCCUGUGACGUCUGUGACUCGAGACCACCUUUCCCUCCUGUCCAAGAGAAACGUGAGGAUGUUUUCCACAAGGCAGGAAGGAGGCAGCAGAGAGGCUCAAAUGGCCCAGUGAAAACACGACUUUUAAUUAAAAAGAAAUGUUCCCGCCACUGCCUCCACCAGUGCUGCAAACGUCCUUGCGACGAGGGCUCAUUGUGCACAAGAGAAUUAAAAUAUCCGCUUUAAGAGAAGGAAAAUCAUCUUCUGAUCAAAACACCUGUAUUUGAGUUGGGUAAAAAUUCAAGAUCAGUGCAUCUAAAGGACACAUUCAGGUUAAAGAAUUAAAGGAGACAAAGACUUUCUGAGUUACGUUGCAGAAGAUGAGACGGCAAAGGAGAUAAAGAAGAAAUGUCAGAGAAGUGGGAGGAAAACCCCGUGUCUAGGAAGCCAGGAGGAACUCACAUCUCACAAGUUUAACAAGGAUACCACACUCCAUUUAGUUAUCAGAUCUCCUUAGACUUCUCCAGACUGUGACAGCUUCUUAGACUUUUCUUGUUCUUGAUGACCUCAAUGGAGAAAUAUUGGCCAUGUAAGAUGUAGAAUGUCCCUCUAAUGGGAUUUGUUUGAUGUUUUCCUCAUUAUAAAUUGGGCUAUGGGUUUGGGGGAGGAAAACCAGAGAUAAAGUGCCAUUUUUAUCACAUAUUAUCAAGGGUACAUGUUAUCAACGUGCUCCUUACUGUUAAUGUUGAUCUUGUCACCCAGCUGAGGGAGUGUUUGUCAGAGUUUUCCACUAUAGUGUUACUUUUUUCCUUCUUUGUUCUGUACUCUGUGGAAGGAAGCCACUAUGCACAGCC